rnacentral:rRNA from 1 species
CAGCAGCCGCGGUAAUACCGGCGGCCCGAGUGGCGGUCACUAUUAUUGGGCUUAAAGCGUCCGUAGCCGGGUUGGGAAGUCCUCCGGGAAAUCUGGCCGCUUAACGGUCAGAAUGCCGGAGGAUACUCCCAGCCUAGGGAGCGGGAGAGGCCGAGGGGAUUCCCGGAGUAGGGGGGAAAUCCUAUAAUCCCGGGAGGACCACCUGUGGCGAAGGCGCUCGGCUGGAACGCGUCCGACGGUGAGGGACGAAGGCCAGGGGAGCAAACCGGAUUAGAUACCCGGGUAGUCCUGGCGGUAAACGAUGCGGGCUAGCUGUUGGGUGGGCUGAGAGCCCACCCAGUGGCGCAGGGAAGCCGUUAAGCCCGCCGCCUGGGGAGUACGGCCGCAAGGCUGAAACUUAAAGGAAUUGGCGGG